UUUUUCAUAUAUAAUAAAACUCCAUUUGCUCUGUAGGCAAUGGCCUUUAUUUAGAAUCUUUGGAAAUAUCUUAUACAUACAAACAUUCAGCAGUUUUAUUCUUCCUGGCUUACUUCCCUCUCAUGCUAAUUCCAAUUAGUGAUAUCAUUACUAUACUGAAAUGGCCCAAAUGAUGAGGCCAAAUAUAAGAACACUAUUUCUUUCACAAAUUUCCAUCUUCAUAGCCUCUCAGCUUGUCAGUAAGUUCUGAGGCAAAAAUAUCUUUCUGGAAAGGCAAUUACUUAUUAGUCAUGUGAGCAGAGACAGAACCAAUUAUGACAAGUCCUAGUUCUAUCAAUUUAGUGCAGUAAGAAGUAUAAAGCAUCAUAAUUCCUUCAUCAAUAUACUUUUACUAGCAUGACCUAAAAGGAUAAUGUAUAAAGAAACACAACAACAAUGUAUUUUCUCAAAAUGUGUAUUUAAUGGCCAUUCCAUCAAAAUAAAGCAGAAUCCCAUUUCAAAACUAUUAUAUGUAUAUAUAUUUUUAAGGUGCAUUUUCAAGUUUUAUUUGAGUUUCAUUUCUUCUUGGCUUGCCUGAGGUGUUCUUGCAGGUACAAUUAACACAAAAUGUUCUGAGGUUGGUAGCUUUUCAUGCACUGAAGAAUGAGAUCCUAACAACAUUGCACAUCUUGGAUACAUUAGAAAUUUUAAAAGCCAUGUUUAAUUUCAGAAAACUUAAUACCAUCAUGAAAGACAUUUUCAACACAAAAUUUAGGCACUCUAUACUUUGGAAUAGCCAUGAAAUAUUCCAACAAGAGUUAAUGCACUUUGUGAUUACAUCUACUCAAAGAUAAUUCUCAGUUAAAAUCUAUACUUAUUAAAUAACAUUUUAAACUAGAGCCCAUUAAAUUUUGAUAAUUACUGUGAAAUAUUUGCAGCAUUGUGUUGUAGUUAAAUAAUGCUGAACUACUUCUAUUACUGACUCUAGUACUCAUCCUUCAUGGUUUUUUUCUUUUUCGAGACAGAGUCUUGCUGUGUCACCCAGGCUGGAGUGCAGUGGCACGAACUUGGCUCACUGCAACCUCUGCCUCCCAGGUUCAAGCAAUUCUCCUUCUUCAACCUCCUGAGUAGCUGGGAUUACAGGCGCCUGCCACUGCACCCGGCUAAUUUUUGUAUUUUUAGUAGAGACAGGGUUUCACCAUGUUGGCCAGGCUGGUCUUGAACUGCUGACCUCAUGAUUCGCCUGCCUUGGCCUCCCAAAGUGCUGGGAUUACAGGCGUGAGCCACUGCACCCGGCCAUGGUACUUUUAAAAACAGAGGACUUUAUAGCAUCCAGCAGUAAGCAUCUCUCCCUUUUUCUUGCUAAUAUAUGAAUAAGAUUGCCAAUAAUCAACUUAAAGGUAUUCUUGUGUUUUCUGCUGUAGUUGAUUUCUUAGCAUGCAAGACUUCAGCAAAUGGGAGUCUCCUUGGAGAUCAGGAAACAUCAGCCAUGCAUGUUCAUCACAGAUUCCUAGGCUCAAUUCAUCUGCUCACUUUGCAGCUAAGUAUGUUGCUCCAUUAGGUUCCUGCAGUCCGUGCUGCUGGACUGACUGCUAUGGAGGUAAAGGGAAAGAUAAUCAAAUAUGUCACCCACUUUGCACAAGGCCAAGGCCAAGGCCAAGGCCACCUAGACCUUGUCUGACUUGAGACAAAACUUGCUGAUCUCUGUAGUGUGGUUCUGGGACUUCUACCUCCUUUUCCUAAGACCGAGGGAUGGGAGUGAUGCCUACCUACUGAAAUGCCAUUAAUUCCAGGUGAUCUUUCUGGACUUGAAUGUAAUUUAUCACUGUUAGAAUUCAGAACAUGUAUGCUAGUUGUUCCUGUUGAGAAUAAGGUUAUUUGCUUAGUGGUAUGCAUUUACAUGGCACAGAAAACAAUUAGUAUUUCAGAAUUUUUAGAAGAUUACAGUCUGUAAAUUGACUCAUCAAAAUCACCAAUGACUAGUAUAUAAAGAUCUAUCCAGAGAAAUGAAUUUGAGACUUAUUUGACUAUAAGUCAUACAGAAGAGAGCACAGUAAUUUCCCAUAGGAGAAUCUGGUAUUUCAUCUUGGGGAUCACUGGUAAAUUAAUUACACUGCUAAUGUUUUCUUGCUUACUUGAAGAGACAAUUAGCAUAAGUAAAUCAAGAGUGAGAUGACAAGUUGCUUAACAUUUGUUUCUGUCCAUUGGAUGAGAUCUGAGGUUGCCGUUAAGCCUCGGUGUGAGUAGGGGAUAGGGAGAGAAGAGUAUAAGGAAAGAGAAGUUAACUCCAGUUUUGGUAAAUAUAAUCAGAACCAGUUGGUUAAAAUCAGAAUACUGGGCUGGGUGCAGUGGCUCAUGCCUGGAAUCCCAGCACUUUGGGAGGCCAAGGCAGGCAGAUCACCUGAGGUCAGAAGUUCAAGACCAGCCUGGCCCACCUGGGGAAACUCCGUCUCUACUAAAAGUACAAAAAUAAGCCCGGCGUGGUGAUGCAUGCCUGUAAUCCCAGCUACCUGGGAGGCUGAGGCAGGAGAAUCGCUCCAACCUGGGAGGCCAAGGUUGCAGUGAGCCAAGAUUGCGCCAUUGCACUCCAGCCUGGGUGACAGAGUGAGACUCUGUCUCAAAAAAAGAAAAAAAGAGAUCAGAACACUGAAAUUAAAUGCAAAACAGGUAGACUCAUUUAAGUUUUAGAAAUCAACCUCACCAACAGGUGACAGGAACUGGGAAACAUUAGGAGAUGAUUGUUGAUUCGGGAAAUUCACAUGAAACCUCAGCCAUUUCUCCUGAGCGGAGGGGACAAGAAAUAAGAAUGAAGGUGCAUUUUAGUUGAGGGUGCUUUUCAUACCCACUCAGAACUUCAUCUGCCUGUCGAUAUUCUAAGCAACAACAUCUAUCUUGUGAUCAGGCCCGAGGCUCAUGACAGCACAGUUAAGGUUACAGUCCCUCUCUGGUGUUUUAGAAUGGCGACUGCUUGCUCAUGAGUAACACCUUCCAGGGUCUCGCCAUUAACAGCUAAAAUUUGAUCCCCUCGUUUUAAUCGGCCGUCAUCUGCAGCUGCUCCCUACAAACAAGAAACAUUCCAGUUUAAUCCAGGGUAAAACACAGUUUAUAUUAAAUUAAUAGUAAAACCUCUAACUUCUGUCUGGUGUGCAUAUUAAAAGAGUAACUUUAAAAACUACCAAUUAAAGAUUUUUCUAGGUAAUGUUUUAAACUAGGAAAAAUGUAAGAUAUGCUGUUUGAAUAAUAAUGGUUGAAUAGUAACUAUAAUUAUGGAUAAUCUAAAUAACAUACUAGUAGAAAUGUACUGAUACACUUCUUUCAAUAGAAGUAGAACCUUAUUUCACUAUUUAGUAUUAAAUGGAAUUGGAUGUCAUAUCAUGUCUUAUUCAUGAAAAUGUAAUAUACAAAAAAAGGCAGAUAGAAUUGAAUCUGGUGUUAGUCUUACUGCAAAUACCACCAUUAUACAGAGUUCCCAUUGCAUUAUUAAGCUAUCAGCACUGUGAUCUGUCAAAAAUAAGUGUAGUCUUUAAAUGGGUGAAUUGUAUGGUAAGUGAAUUAUAUCUCAGUGAAGCUGUUAUCUAUAUAUAAAUAUAUACAAGUGUAGCAUCUCUAAAAUUUUGUAAUAUCAUAUUCAAAACCUUCCACUUGAUCUUUGAUCAUCUAAAUAGGUUUCUAAAUGACUACUGUUAUUAUAUACUCAGUCAUGCAUGGCUCCUCAAAACGGCACAAAGCCAGUGAAACUUCGGGGUUUUUUCACUCUAAAGCUGCAUAUCUAAAAAUGCCACGAUAUUACUAGAAACAUUUUGGACUGGUAAGGGAAGAAGAGACCUUAAAAAA